rfam:Brochothrix campestris FSL F6-1037 c38, whole genome shotgun sequence.
UUUGGUGACGAUAGCAAAGAGGAUACACCUGUUCCCAUCCCGAACACAGUAGUUAAGCUCUUUAGCGCCGAUGGUAGUUGGGGGUUUCCCCCUGUGAGAGUAGGACGUCGCCAAGC